UGUUUAACUGACAUGAUUGUGGGACGUCCUACCGGUGGACUUAGCCUCUAUCUUUUCGGAGUUAGAGGCGGUCCAGCUAAUAUCCCAUCGCGGUGCUUUUCAUCGAGUGUCGAGGUGGGCCGGUACGUUUACUUUGAACAAAUUAGAGUGCUCAAAGCAGGCCAUCCUCGCCUGAAUACUGUGUGCAUGGAAUAAUGGAAUAGG
rnacentral:rRNA from 1 species